GUGAGUAAAGCGGCGAACGGGUGAGUAACACGUAGGUUACCUACCUUUCAGUUUGGGACAACCUGUCGAAAGACGGGCUAAUACCGAAUAAGACCACGACAUCUUCGGAUGCAGUGGUAAAAGAUGGCCUCUUCAUGAAAGCUAUCGCUGAUCGAUGGGCCUGCGCACCAUUAGCUAGUUGGUAGGGUAAUGGCCUACCAAGGCUACGAUGGUUAGCUGAUCUGAGAGGAUGAUCAGCCACACUGGAACUGAAACACGGUCCAGACUCCUACGGGAGGCAGCAGUGGGGAAUAUUGCGCAAUGGGGGAAACCCUGACGCAGCAACGCCGCGUGAGUGACGAAGGCCUUCGGGUCGUAAAGCUCUGUCGGAGGGAAAGAAACUACAGAUGGCUAAUAUCCAUUUGUAUUGACGGUACCCUCAAAGGAAGCACCGGCUAACUCCGUGCCAGCAGCCGCGGUAAUACGGAGGGUGCAAGCGUUGUUCGGAAUUACUGGGCGUAAAGCGCGUGUAGGUGGCUUGUCAUGUCAGGUGUGAAAGCCCUCGGCCUAACCGAGGAAGUGCGCCUGAAACUGCCAAGCUUGAGUACGAGAGAGGAGGACGGAAUUCCCAGUGUAGAGGUGAAAUUCGUAGAUAUUGGGAGGAACACCGGUGGCGAAAGCGGUUCUCUGGAUCGAUACUGACACUAAGACGCGAAAGCGUGGGGAUCAAACAGGAUUAGAUACCCUGGUAGUCCACGCCGUAAACGAUGGAUAUUAGUUGUUGCGAGUUUAACCCUCGCAGUGACGAAGCUAACGCAUUAAAUAUCCCGCCUGGGAAGUACGGCCGCAAGGUUAAAACUCAAAGGAAUUGACGGGG
rnacentral:rRNA from 1 species